CCCGCCCGUCCGCCCGGGCCCGCGCCGCUGCUUACCGCCGCUCCAGCUCCGAGGGCUCCGCGCCCAACCCGGGAGGCCCGCAAGGUUAGACGAAAGGUUAGAGUCAGCGGCCGGGCCUGCCGGGGCAGAAGCGCCGCACUGCCUGGAACCUGGAGGGCGUAGGGCGGGAAAGAAGCCGCAAGGGUGUUGGUGGGGAUCUUCUUCCAGCAAUCAGCACUCCACACUUUCGGAGUUCUGCGGGGAAACUGAUCGCCACUCAAGCACAAACACAGGCCACCUUCCUGUCUAAUCCGUAAAUAAAACUUGGGGUUGAAAGGCUCCCUUACUCCCAGCUCUGCAGUGUGGUGUGCAGAGAGCAGGGCUCCCUCUUUUAAAAUAAAAUAACAUCUUAGGAGAUGCAGAAGUACUCCCACGCAAACAAACCCUGGGCAACCGCCUGAGCAAAUGAAGCCCCAGCCCCCUAGUUCACUUGGUGCUGUCCUAUAACUUGGCUUUGAAUGAAAAGAAUCCUGGGCUUCUGAGAAGAGAUAAAGUUUGAAGAUCUGCGGACGGGAUUUCCUGUGGAUUUAAGGAAUUCUGAUAACUUGGUCGAGGAUGCAUUUUAACUGAAACGUUUGUUCUGUGGCUUAAACAAAACUUGAGUAGGGGCGAGAGGAUGCAAACUGUAACAGGAUUUCUCCCAGCAUGUUUGUACUGAGAGGCUCAGUGGAAAAAAGCCAACACAGGAAGAGAGAGAGAGAGCAAGAAAAAAAAAGAGAACGCCUUGGUCUAUUUACUGUCUCCUGGGACUACAGUUUGGUUUCAGUUCCUUUGACUCAACAUGAACAGCUUCUCCACCUGACAACUGCAUGAAAGCUUCAAGCACAGCCAUAACCAAGGCCUCCCCAAGUGCACCUUGGGACACAACUGCUUCUAUUUUGCAUGUUUGAUUUGUAUAUGCAUCUCAGAAUUGGUGAAAUAUUGGACUUAGUCAUCAUUUACCUAUAGAACAUGGAUUAUGUGCUAUGUAAUUUACUGGAAACUGAGGCAUAGCAUAAAUAACAGUCUAGUAAGAAGAACAUACAGGAAAGAACAGAAUUUUAAAAACAAUUUAAAACUGGCCUUGGUGGCCCAUUCUUUAAUCUUAACCCUCAUGAAGCUGAGACAUGUGGAUCUCUGUGAAUUUGAACCCAAUCUGGUCUACAUAGUGAGUUCCAGUUGCUGGUCUAUCUGCGGGAUCUGUGUUUGACAAGCAGCACCUCACAGAGCUCUGUUUUCUGCCAGACUCUCUUCACAAGUGGCAAAAGUAUCAAGUUUUUGCUCUGCAAAAGGAUAGUGGACAAAAAAGAGGAAGUUGCAAAAUACCAGCCAGUAUGCUUUUUCAAUUCUACAAAGAAGAGAAAUUAUUCACGAGGCCCUUAAAAGCAUGGAAAAUGAAGUAUAAUUUGUGCAUUUCUUCAUUUAUAAUUAAUAUAUGCACAUAUUUACUUAAACAAACU
rnacentral:lncRNA from 1 species